UUUGGCCCAAACAGGAGGACUCUUGAUGCCAAGGAAAUCUGCAGUCUGGCAGCAGCUGGCUGGGCUGGCAGCUCCCAGAGGAACUCGGGUUCUAAUUAGAGGAGAAAGUUGCUCGUUGACCAUUCAACCAGACCUAGGCAGGCAGAUGGCUUUGAGGGAAAAUCUUAUGAACACAGGGAGAUGCUUCACAGAUGGUGAAGUGAAGAAACUCCUGGCUUUGGGAUCUGGGGAGACAUACUGGGGCAAGCAAGCAGCACACCAGCUCUGCACGCCGUAAAAUGACGCCCAGCUAUCAGACUUAAGAACAGCAGCGCCUGUGAGACAAGUCCACAGAUCAGAGACGGUACGAAGAUAAAGAGCUGUGGAGGCCUCCCUAG
ensembl:lncRNA